UACGUAGGGUGCAAGCGUUGUCCGGAAUUAUUGGGCGUAAAGAGCUCGUAGGCGGUUUGUCGCGUCUGCUGUGAAAUCCCAGGGCUUAACCCUGGGCCUGCAGUGGGUACGGGCAAACUAGAGUGCGGUAGGGGAGAUCGGAAUUCCUGGUGUAGCGGUGAAAUGCGCAGAUAUCAGGAGGAACACCGGUGGCGAAGGCGGAUCUCUGGGCCGUAACUGACGCUCAUGGUCGAAAGCGUGGGGAGCAAACAGG
rnacentral:rRNA from 1 species